UGCCAGCCGCCGCGGUAAUACGGGGGAUGCAAGCGUUAUCCGGAAUCAUUGGGCGUAAAGCGCCUGUAGGUUGUUUAGUAAGUCUGUUGUUAAAGACCAGGGCUUAACCCUGGGAAAGCAAUGGAAACUACUAGACUUGAGUAUGGCAGGGGUAGAGGGAAUUUCUAGUGUAGCGGUGGAAUGCGUAGAUAUUAUGAAGAAUACCAGUGGCGAAGGCGGCCUCCUGGAUCUGUACUGACACUGAGGUGCGAAAGCGUGGGUAGCGAACAGGAUUAGAUA
rnacentral:rRNA from 1 species